UACGAAGGGGGCUAGCGUUGCUCGGAAUCACUGGGCGUAAAGGGUGCGUAGGCGGGUCUUUAAGUCAGGGGUGAAAUCCCGGGGCUCAACCCCGGAACUGCCUUCAAAACUCCCAGUCUGGAGGUCGAGAGAGGUGAGUGGAAUUCCGAGUGUAGAGGUGAAAUUCGUAGAUAUUCGCAAGAACACCAGUGGCGAAGGCGGCUCACUGGCCCGGUACUGACGCUGAGGUGCGAAAGCGUGGGGAGCAAACAGG
rnacentral:rRNA from 1 species